AUCCGUUCUUGUCAGUCUUCCCCUUCCCCAGCUCUCCAUCGAAUCGUAGCUUGUUGAAGGUGGAAGAUGGAGGCCGCGCUUCUGAGCGGAUUCAUCAAGGCCAUCCUGCCGAGGCUCUUCUCCCUCGUCAACGACAAGCUCAAUCUGCACAAGGGCGUCAAGGGCGACAUCGAUUUCCUCAUCAAGGAGCUCCGCAUGAUCGUCGGCGCCAUCGACGACGACCUCUCCGUCGAACAUGGCGCCGCCGCCGCCGCCGCCGCCGUAUCUCCAUCGAAUCGUAGCUUGUUGAAGGUGGAAGAUGGAGGCCGCGCUUCUGAGCGGAUUCAUCAAGGCCAUCCUGCCGAGGCUCUUCUCCCUCGUCAACGACAAGCUCAAUCUGCACAAGGGCGUCAAGGGCGACAUCGAUUUCCUCAUCAAGGAGCUCCGCAUGAUCGUCGGCGCCAUCGACGACGACCUCUCCGUCGAACAUGGCGCCGCCGCCGCCGCCGCCGCCGUACAGACGCUAUGCAUGGAGGACCUCCGCGAGCUCGCCCACGGCAUCGAGGACUGCAUCGACGGCGUCCUGUACCGCGCCGCCAGGGAGCAGCGGCGCUCUUCGUCGCUUCUCCCCCGCACGGUCCGGGCAACCAAGAAGUUGCUACAGACAAACCAGCAUCUGGCCCAGGAGUUGCAGCGGCUGAAGAGGAUGGUGGAGGAGGCGAACCAGCGGAAGCAGAGGUACACGGCGGCGGCGCCCGGUCAACACGGUCAGGUCUACUCAUCGGCUGCGGCGCAGGUGGAUGAGCCGUGGCCGUCGUGCUCAUCUGCCUCAGAUCCGCGCAUCCACGAGGCGGACCUGGUCGGCGUCGACGCGGACCGGGCGGAGCUCCUUGAGCAGCUGGCGGAGCGGCAGCCGGAGCAGCUCAAGGUGAUCGCCAUCGUCGGGUUCUGCGGGCUGGGGAAGACCGCCCUCGCCGCGGAGGCGUACAACCGAGAGACCCGCGGCGGGAGAUUCGAGAGGCACGCGUGGGUUUGCGCCGCGCACCGGAGUGCACGGGAGGUGCUCGGCGAAUUGCUCCGCAGGAUUGACGCCGCUUGCCAUGGGGACUCCGAUGCUGGCCAGCUGUGUGUAGAUAUCAGACAACAGUUGGAGAAGAAGAGGUACUUCAUUGUUAUCGAUGACAUUCAAACAGAAGAUCAGUGGAAAAGCAUCAAAUCGGCUUUUCCGACUGAUAAGGAUAUUGGCAGCAGAAUAGUGGUCACGACGACCAUCCAGUCAGUAGCUAAUGCCUGCUGUUCUGCGAAUGGGUAUUUGCACAAAAUGAGCAGGCUUGAUAAGAACUGCUCAAAGCAAUUGUUGUCCAAGAAAGCUUGCCCAGAGAGGUAUUCACAUUACAAGCAGCCAGAUUCAGCAGCAAUUUUGAAGAAAUGUGAUGGCCAGCCACUUGCUCUUGUUACCAUAGGUGAAUUCCUGCAAGCUAAUGGCUGGCCAACGGGGCCUAACUGUGAAGAUCUCUGCAAUCGGCUACAUUAUCACCUAGAGAAUGAUAAAACACUUGAAAGGAUGCGGCGAGUGCUGGUCCGCAACUACACUAGUCUACCUGGCCAUGCUCUCAAGGCCUGCUUACUAUAUUUUGGUAUGUUCCCAUCUGAUCAUCCAAUCAGGAGGAAAAGUCUGUUGAGGCGAUGGCUGGCCGAGGGAUUUGUAGAACCAGUGUCUUCAUCUAGUAACCUAGAUUCCACGGCUGCUUUCGAUGUGCUAAUGGACCGGAACAUUAUUGAGCCCAUCAAUGUAAGCAAUAAUGAUAAAGUCAAGACAUGCCAAACGUACGGUAUGAUGCGUGAAUUCAUAUCGCAUAUGUCAAUCUCUCAGAACUUUGUCACCUUUUUCUGUGAUGACAAGUUCCUGCCCAAAUAUGUUCGUCGGCUUUCUCUCCAUGGUGACACUGUUGUGAAUGGCGAUAACUUCAACGGUAUUGAUUUAUCACUUGUACGGUCUCUGGUAGUCUUUGGGGAGGCAGGUACAACUGUAUUAGACUUCAGCAAGUAUCAAUUGCUGCGAGUUUUAGAUCUUGAAAAAUGUGAUGAUUUGAACGAUGAUCAUCUCAAAGAAAUAUGCAAUCUGGUGCUUCUGAAAUAUCUGAGCCUUGGGGGUAAUAUCUCCAAACUUCCAAAGGAUAUUGCCAAAUUGAAAGAUUUGGAGGCACUCGAUGUAAGGAGAUCGAAAGUAAAGAUAAUGCCGGUAGAAGUCUUCGGGUUGCCAUGCCUAAUUCAUCUGCUUGGAAAAUUUAAGCUCUCAGAUAAAGUCAAGCAGAAGACUGAAGUGCAAGAGUUUCUCUCGAAAGGAAAAAGCAACUUGCAGACGCUAGCAGGAUUUGCUAGCAACGGAAGCGAAGGGUUUCUGCAUCUUAUGAGGUACAUGAAUAAGUUGAGAAAGUUGAAGAUUUGGUGUACGUCGUCUGCAGGUAGCACCGAUUGGACUGAUCUUAGGGAGGCCAUUCAACAGUUCAUUCUGGAUGAAAAGGAAGCAAAUAUUGGUACCCGUUCUUUAUCGCUUCAUUUCACUGGAUGCUCUGAAGAUGCGAUAAAUUCCUUAAAAGAACCCUGCUACCUCAGCUCGUUGAAAUUACAUGGCAACUUCCCCCAAUUGCCUCAGUUUGUUACAUCACUUCGUGGUCUCAAGGAGCUUUGCCUUUCAUCUACUAAAUUUACAACAGGCCUUCUUGAAGCCUUGAGUAAUUUGAGCUACUUGCAGUAUCUCAAACUGGUUGCCGAUGAACUUGAGAAGUUCAUCAUAAAAGUUCAGGGGUUCCCCAGGCUGCUAUGCCUUUGUAUUGUGCUACAAUGUCCAACAUUCCCAGUAAUUGAAGAAGGAGCUCUGCCAUUUCUUGUCACACUUCAGCUGCUAUGCAAAGAUCUACAUGGCCUUUCUGACAUCAAAAUUGAAUGUUUUAAACAUCUUCAGGAGGUAACUCUUCAUUCUGGAGUCACUCCAGCUACAAGACAGGAAUGGGUAAAGGCUGCUAAGGAGCAUCCGAAUAGGCCAAAAGUAUUGCUUCUCAAAUCUGUUGAUACAGCAGAAAGUGAACAUACAGACGUUGAUAGUGUAAUGGAGGCAGUCAAAAGUGAGACUACAGAAUAUUCUAUUGCACCAGAGGGACCAGAACAAGUGAUUGACAUGAACAACAAAAUGCAACUUGACCAUGGAUUGGAAUCCUCUUCUGUGCUGAACAAACAAAACAAUUUUGCAGACCAAUCAAGCUCAAAAGAUCAACUGCAUUAUUCUUUCAACAAUAUGGGGCUUUCAGAUGUCUCUCCUGCUGUGAGUGAGCUGCCGAAUGGCAUGGUGCCUUCUUGUACAUGACAAGGAUCUAGAAUCUUCACGUGGCUUCCCGGAAAACUACAAAACAAUAGACAUUGGAAUGUGUUUGGUGACUUACAUUGCUCCCAUGACAUUUUGUGUGCAAACUCUGCUGCAGAGGUGCUAGCUGCUGCUCACACAACAACCAAAGGACGCAGCAGGGCAGAGGAGAUGAACGGAUUUCUUCUCCAGGGAAGAGAAGGGGGGGGGGGGGGUGUGAAUACUGGGUAAGCAGGAGCUGAAAUGAAGCAUCAGCAGUACAACUUGGCAAUAGUUGACUUGACUCCAAUAUUAGAUGGAUGUGAAAUGGUGAAUAUGAUAUGCCUGGUGUAUUUUAUGAGUAUACAGACAAGUUGUUUAGUCAAUGGUCAAUGAUGGUUCCAUUAAGAGGCUGUGUUUAGUUCAGCGCAAAGUUUGGAUUUUGGUUGAAAUUGGAGAUGAUGUGACUGAAAAGUUGUGUGUAUGACAGGUUAAUGUGAUGGAAAAGGACUGAAGUUUAGAUCUAAACACAGCCAGAGUUUAGUGGCACUUAAGUUUUGGAUAUGAUGUCCUAUUGUCGUGACAGCACAUGCUACAAUUACUAUUUUUUAGGGGGUGGGGUGGGGGGUGGGGUUGUUGUUGUUGUUAUCAUGUUCCAUAUGCGUUAAUGAAUUAAAAAGGUGCCAUGUUAUUUUUUCUACCGAAAACCUGAAA